rnacentral:rRNA from 1 species
AUACGGAGGGUGCAAGCGUUAAUCGGAAUUACUGGGCGUAAAGCGUACGUAGGCGGUUAUUUAAGUCAGAUGAGAAUGCCCCGGGCUUAACUUGGGAACUGCAUUUGAAACUGGGUAACUAGAGUUUAGUAGAGGGGAGUGGAAUUUCAGGUGUAGCGGUGAAAUGCGUAGAGAUCUGAAGGAACACCAGUGGCGAAGGCGACUCCCUGGACUAAAACUGACGCUGAGGUACGAAAGCGUGGGUAGCAAACAGGAUUAGAAACCCUUGUAGUCC